UUUUUUUUUUGAGACGGAGUCUCGCUCUGUCGCCCAGGCUGGAGUGCAGUGGCACGAUCUCGGCUCACUGCAAGCUCCGCCUCCUGGGUUCACGCCAUUCUCCUGCCUCAGCCUCUCCGAGUAGCUGGGACUACAGGCGCCCGCCACCACGCCCGGCUAAUUUUUUUGUAUUUUUAGUAGAGACGGGGUUUCACCGUGAUCUCGAUCUCCUGACCUCGUGAUCCGCCCGCCUCGGACUCCCAAAGUGCUGGGAUUACAAGCGUGAGCCACCGCGCCCGGCGAGACUGGGUUUUAAACAGAAUCUCACAUGUUAAUACAAAUGAGUUUACUAUAUUUUGUAUUUAUUAUCAGGAGCAUUUUUUUUCCUAAAGAUAAGGCUAAGGAGACGAUAGGAAAGAAAAAAAACAUUUAAAAACUUAAAAAGACAAUAAAGUUUUUAAAAAGUUUUUCUAAAAAGAAAAAAUAAAAAGGCAGGAUCAUCAAAGCAUUGCUUUUUUUCCCACGAAGUAGGCACGCCACACGUAUUUACCUUUUCUUAACUUCAAAUCCUGUCGCCCUUUUUUUCUUCUUUCUUUACAGACUAGAAGUCUGUGGGCUGUUUUGUUUGGCAUGCAGUACUUUUAAAGUAUUCAUUAGUGGCCAAUAUUUAGAAGGAAAGCUAUAGCAUUAAAACAGAUUUCCAGAGUUUCCUGAAAAAAAAAAAAUGUUUUUUAAAGGAUUUGCUUUCCUAAAAUGGCAACAAUCAGUGGAGGUGAGUAAUGGCUGCACCCUGGACAGGUGGGCUAGGCGCUGUCCAGUUCACCAGGUUUCCAACCAAGCCAGCUUUACUCAUUAAUGAACAAUUGAUGUUUCAUUUGUUUGUCAUUCCUGCUCAGUAGCUUAUGUCUCUUAGCCACUGGGGCCAGACAGUGCCAAUCCCUUUAGGAGCUUCAGACUAAGCUGUUAUGACUAUGCUACCAAGGAAUAAGCCUGGUGAAGAAACAGGCUUUUCUGUUAGGCACAGGGCUUUCGGAGCUCAACAACUUCCCAGUCUGAUGGAAGAGACUGACAACUACAGUAUGGAGUAGUGGCCAUGUACCUACAUUGUUAUUUAUGAUGAGUAAAUAAAGCGAGCAACGGGGGACCAGAGGAGGUGAAAUGAAUAAUUUUCACCUUGCCGUACUGACCUCAAGGGCCUAGAGAAGCGUCUAACCUAGACUUCUGGAGUAAGCUGAAGCCCAAAGGGUAAAGAGGCAUAUUAACACAAAUGGUUAAGUUUCAGGCAGAGGGAAUAUCAGGUAAGGUGUGUGGUGGGGAAGAGACAAUGAAAGUAGAGAUACCUGGAGCAGAGGGUGACAAGAAGCGAAAAGUGAGAGAUGAAGAUUAAGGUACAAGCGAGGAUCAAUUUAUGUCGUCUGAACUUUAUCUCAGGGACAAUGGGAAGCCCCUGUGAUACUAUAAGUAAGGGUAAGUUUACUGGGACUCCGAAGUGAUUUGUUUAAGUUACACAAUUAGGAAGGGAACCAAAAAAUGAACUAAUUUUUAAAAUUAAGUCCUAAUCAAUGUACUAUUACUUCCCCGCUGUCCCAUGUUUAUCGCUGACCCACCAAUUCAAAGGACACGGCACAUGUUUCUUCUUUUUUGAGAUGGAGUUUCGCUCCUGUUGCCCAGUCUGGAGAGCAAUGGCGCGAUCUCGGCUCACUGCAAACUCCGAUUCCAGGGUUCAAGCAAUUCUCCUGCCUCAGCCUCCUGAGUAGCUGGGAUUACAGGCAUGCGCCACCACGCCCGGCUAAUUCUGUAUUUUUAGUAGAGACAGGGUUUCUCCGUGUUGGUCAGGCUGGUUUCAAACCCCCGAACUAAGAUGAUCCGCCCGCCUGGGCCUCCCAAAGUGCUGGGAUUACAAGCGUGAGCCACCGCGCCCAGCCUGCGGAAAUGGCCUCAACGCUUCAACCGGAAAGAGAAACUGACCGCCGCAGGCGCCAUCUAACGGCCGCUGGAGCAAGGCUCCUCCCGGAAAGUCGCAACACCGGAAAAGGUCCGGCUGCUUCCGGUAAAAACCCAACAGAACUGACGUUCAGAGGGCGAGUCUCGAAAAUCCGGCCAAUUUGUCGAGGGCGCUGUGCUCCGCGACGACGCAUGCCCGCUUUUGCGCAGGCGCGGGGACUAGGGCGCAGGCGCGGAGACUAUUGCGCUGGCAAGCGCGUACGCAGAAGCGUGCGCGCGCCCGUUCAACGUCCGGAGCAUCGGUGCAGUUUCGAGGCGUGUUCCAUAUCAAAUCCACACCCACACCCCCCGCCGGGCCCGCUUCUCCUGAGACUCAGCGGUUGGUCGGCUAACGGGCAUCUUCAGUGACGCAGUGAAGAAAGGCCCUUGUUUCCCCAAACCCUUGUUCUGGGUUAGAGGACCUGGUACCGUCACCAGUGAAAAGUUGUGCAGAGCCCAACAUGAGCUUCAUUUCCAAGCUGCCACCUAUCUCUGCCUCCUGCGUAGCAUCCGGGAACAUGUGGCCCUACAUCAGGAAUUUCAUGGCAAGGGUGAGCGCUCAGUGGAGG